GAGUUUGAUCCUGGCUCAGAACGAACGCUGGCGGCAGGCUUCAUACAUGCAAGUCGAACGGUUAAAGCUCCUUCGGGAGUGUAUAAAGUGGCGAACGGGUGAGUAACAGGUGGAUAAUCUGCCUUGCGGCGGGGGGCAACGGUUGGAAACGGCUGCUAAUACCGCAUACGAUUGUCGGGCCGCGACAUACGACAAAGAAAGGCGCUUCGGCGUCGCCGCAAGAUGAGUCCGCCUCCCAUUAGCUUGUUGGUGAGGUAAAAGCUCACCAAGACUACGAUGGGUAGCCGAACUGAGAGGUUGAUCGGCCACACUGGAACUGAGACACGGUCCAGACACCUACGGGUGGCAGCAGUAGGGAAUAUUGCGCAAUGGGCGAAAGCUUGACGCAGCCAUGCCGCGUGGAUGAUGAAGGCCUUCGGGGUCGUAAAGUCCUUUUCUGAGGAAAGAACAUCCAAGGGAGGUAAUGCCCUUGGCUUGACGGUACCUCAGGAAUAAGCAACGGCUAACUCCGUGCCAGCAGCCGCGGUAAUACGGAGGUUGCAAGCGUUGUUCGGAAUAACUGGGCGUAAAGGGAGCGCAGGCGGCCAAGUCAGUCUGAAGUGAAAGUCCGGGGCUCAACCUCGGAAGUGCUUUGGAUACUGCCUGUCUUGAGUUCGUGAGAGGAAAGGGGAAUUCAGGGUGUAGCGGUAAAAUGCUUAGAUAUCCUGAGGAACACCAGUGGCGAAAGCGACUUUCUGGCACGAAACUGACGCUGAGGCUCGAAAGCGUGGGUAGCGAACGGGAUUAGAAUCCCCCGGUAGUCCACGCCGUAAACGUUGUGUACUAGGUGCAGGAGGUAUCGACCCCUUCUGUGCCGCAGCUAACGCAUUAAGUAUACCGCCUGGGGAGUAUGCGCGCAAGCGUGAAACUCAAAGGAAUUGAUGGGGGCCCGCACAAGCGGUGGAGCAUGUGGUUUAAUUCGAGGCAACGCGAAGAACCUUACCCAGACUUGACAUCCCGUGACAACCAAUGAAAGUAGGCUGUGCCCGCAAGGGAAUCUGUUCACAGGUGCUGCAUGGCUGUCGUCAGCUCGUGUUGUGAGAUGUUGGGUUAAGUCCCGCAACGAGCGCAACCCCUAUCCUUAGUUACCAGCGGUUCGGCCGGGCACUCUAGGGAGACUGCCGGUGAUAAGCCGGAGGAAGGUGGGGACGACGUCAAGUCAUCAUGGCCCUUAUGUCCAGGGCGACACACGUGCUACAAUGGCCAGUACAGAGGGUAGCCAACCCGCGAGGGGGAGCCAAUCCCAGAAAGCUGGUCCCAGUUCGGAUUGGAGUCUGCAACCCGACUCCAUGAAGGUGGAAUCGCUAGUAAUCGCGCAUCAGCCAUGGCGCGGUGAAUACGUUCCCGGACCUUGUACACACCGCCCGUCAAGCCAUGGGAGCUGAGGGUACCUAAAGAUGGUGACUUUACGGGGAGCUAUCUAAGGUAAAACCAGUGACUGGGGGUAAGUCGUAACAAGGUAGCCGU
rnacentral:rRNA from 1 species